rnacentral:lncRNA from 1 species
GGCAACUCAGGUGUGGGGAGUUUAAAAUAAUCUUGCCAGGUGAUUCAAAGGUGUAGGCAAGGUUGAGAUGCACGGGCCUGGACAGGAAGGCGGAGGUCUCUGCAUGGCUCUGGCUCUGCCGAUGACCCUCUGCAUGACACUGGGCAAAUCCAGAUACUCUGCCCUCUCUGGGCCUCUACUGUAGAGCUGUCCAGCACUGGGUCUUCCCUGCAGCGUCACAACCAGAGUCAACACUUGGCAUGGGUGCUGGUUUCUGCAGGUGUUCCCCACUGGCCAAGCCCAGGAGAGGGCAAGGGAGCCUCUUGACAUAACCACAGGACUUAGCUUCCCUGGUACAAAAGAAGGUGGAAGACUAGUCCUGGAAGGGCAACCAGGAGCAAUCCAAUAUAUUAUGAUACAGCUAAAUUUGAAUCUGCUGUUGCUUAUACAAAGAAUAGUGAAUCCUUCUCAAGCUUCAGAAUCAAUAAGAACACGCAUUUAUCAAGCACUUUACUGUGUGCUCUGCUGAGUUAAGCACUUUACAGGCAUUAUCUCAUUUAAUCCAUAAACAACCUUACCAAGUAGAUUCUAUUGUUCACUCCAAAAUGGAAGAUAGAACAAAUACAUGGCAGCAUUGCUGUGAAGAGGAGAGAAAAUGAGGAGGAGAGAAAAUGCAUCAAGUGUGGUGGAUGAAACCAAUGCCAUGGUGGCCUCACCAAGGUGCCACAUCCCACAGAGACCAGGCUGCAACACUGGCUUGUCAUAGUUAUGCCAUGGUGGCUCUCAAAGGAUCCCCACGGGGAACACCAAAAUCACAUCAUGGUGGCCUUUUCCCUACUCAUCAAUAACAUCAAGGUCUUGGGAUAGAACUUUCUCAAUUCUAACUUUUUCUUCCAUAAAUUUUCUUUAAACUGAGCCAAAAAUGAAUGAACAAUAAACAUUAAUGGGAAAUUUUAAAAUGUGAUUUUUAAAGGAGUGUUUUAUGUAUUGUUACUUUUUUGAGAUGCAGAAACCUGCAUGCAUAUAAUAUAGCCAUAUUUUCUGGUAGUAAAGUUGUUGCUGACUCGUGUGACAGAAUUAAGUGCAUCAAUUUUUUCUUGUGGUUAUGCAGAAAGCAUCCCAUCUUCCCAAUGUCUGAAAGAAUUUGAAACUACUUUGAUAGAAAAACUUGCAUAUGGUAUAAAAUUUAGGCUCUAGGAACAUUGUGAGCAUUACCACUAUCAUCAUCAUCACUGUCAUCAUCACCUCUGUCAUCAUUAUGAAGAUCAUUUCUUUCCAAGGGAAUCAAAAUGUGUCCUCUGUGUGUCUUCGCUACAUUAUAUUAAGCAGUGGUUCUCAAAGUGAGGCUUCUGGACCAAGCAGUGUCAGCAAAUGCAAAUUCCUAGGCCUUACCUUAGAAAAACUGAAUCAGAAUCUCUGGGCAUGGAGCCCAGCAAUCUGUGUUUUGAUAAAGCCUCCAGGUUGAGAACCAUUGUUUUUUAGUAAUUCUUACACAAGCCAGUGAGAUAGGAGCCACUGUUUCCAUUUCAGUGCUAUGAAAACAAAGGGUGAGAGAAUAUUGCAGUUAUUAAAUGGUGAGACUAGAGCAUGGAUUGAAUUCUUCCACCUCUAGGAUGAGUCCUUAUCCCAACAUCACUCUUAUAUACAUAACUAAUGAAUCAGGAAACUGUGCGUCCACUCUUUUGUGGAAGAUAUAUUAAUAGGUAAGGCACAGUUGCCAGAACUUACUCUCUUAAGAAGAUAAGGCAGGAAACGCUUAGCAAUUAAAUGCUAAGUGGCAUCAUUUCCAAUGUCAUAGGUUUUUGGUGAUGAAAGAGGUCACUGUGGGCUGGACUGAGUGGUGUCCCCUGGAAUUGUUCAAAGUACUCCAAGUUGCUAAGAUCUUGAUCAAAUAUCUCUAGAAAUAAGUGGUCUUCAGUUAGGUCUGGAAGGACAAAGUGGAUCUGGCUGGCUGGUGGAGGAGGAGGAGGUCAAUAGUUGAUUAGCAAAUGGACAAGAAGGGUGUGACUUUCUAUUGUUAAAACAGGUUAAAGCUGAGAAGCAGCAGCCAGCAAAAGCCUUGACUGAAAGAUGAGCACCUUGAGACCUCUUACUGCAAAAUAAAUUCUGUAGAUUGCAUCUCCACCUGUUGGUUGGGAUACUGAUUCUAUUCCACUAUGAGGAGGUAGCCAUUUCCUUCCUAGCCCCUCUCCAAUUUACUGCUAGACCAGGGGUGGCAAACCUUUUCUAUAAAGGGCCAGGCAGUAAACAUUUUGGUCUUUGCGAUCCAUAUGGUCUGUGUUGCAACCUGUCAACUCUGCUACUGUAUGAAAGCAGCCAUGGGCAAUAUGUAAAUUGAUGGGCAUGGCCGUGUUCUAAUAAAACUAUAUUUG